GUAAGUAAAAGUCGUAACAAGGUCUCCGUUGGUGAACCAGCGGAGGGAUCAUUACAGAGUUGCAAAACUCCCAAACCAUUGUGAACGUUACCUAUCCCGUUGCUUCGGCGGGCGGCCCGGGCCCCGCGCCCGGCGCCCCCCGGCCCCCCGUGGGCGCCCGCCGGAGGUAAACCAAACCCUUGAAUUGCAUGGCCUCUCUGAGUCUUCUGUACUGAAUAAGUCAAAACUUUCAACAACGGAUCUCUUGGUUCUG
rnacentral:misc_RNA from 1 species